UAACAUUAUAGUGGAUUUUGUUUUCUCCGUUUUGUACCUAUGAUAUAUGAUAAAAACACGCUUAAGGACUUAAGUAUUAGUUGCUGAGUCUCUGUGACUCCAUGGACUGUAGCCAGACAGGUUCUUCUGUCCAUGGGAUUUUCCCAGCCAAGAAUACUGGAGUGUGGUGCCAUUUCCUUCUCCAGGGGGUCUUCGCCACCCAGGGAUCGAACCCAGGUCUAUCUCAUUGCAGGCAGAUUCUUUACCUUCUGAGCUACCAGGGAAGCCCUAAAAAACAGGCUUAGGUUAAAAAACAAAUUGUCUAAAGCCAGUUCAGUCGCUCAGUCGUGUCCGACUCUGCAACCCCAUGAACCGCAGCACGUCGUCAUUAGCAAAAAGCGCUGGGACUGCAAUCCAGGUCAGCUCCAUUCAAAGGCCUCUGCUCUUAAACCACUCUGCCACAGUUUCCUUCUUUCACUCCUGGCACCUGUAGUUCUCACCUGGAAAGGACUCCCGCCUUCCUCCUCCUUCCCUCCGGAAUUUAUCCCUCAGCAGCAAAAGUCUCUUGAGCCUCUAGUGCUGAGAAAGGUUGCAGUGCUGUCAGUGGGCCAGAGGGAUCUCUAGGGAAUAGCUGCUUGAACUCUCAGCGGCACAAAUAUUGCAGGGCACCUGAUUUUAGUCCCUAGAUUCUCCACUAUUGUCAUUUUCCAAAGCAAGAGUACUGGAGUGGGUUGCCAUUUCCUUCUCUAGGAUAUCUUCCUGAUCCAGGGAUCGAACCUGGGUCUUCCGCGUUGCAGGCAGACACUUUACCGUCUGGGCCACCAGGGAAGCCCAAAAGUGAGUGAAGUCGCUCAGUCGUGUCCGACUCUUUGUGACCCCGUGGACUGUAGCCUACCAGGCUUCUCCGUCCAUGGGAUUCUCCAGGCAAGAAUACUGGAGUGGGUUACCAUUUCCUUCGCCAGGGGAUCUUCCCGACCCAGGGAUCGAACCCGGGUCUCCAGCGUUGGAGACAGACGCUUUAACCUCUGAGCCACCAGGGAAGCCGGGAAGCCCAAAAUACAAUCUAAGAAGAUGGAAUUAAAUGAGCUUGUUUACAUUCGAUAAUCUGGCUCCCCUGCAGCCAACGUGGUCUUCUUUACGUACGAAUCUAUCCCUGCAGCGAUGGCCCCGCACGUGUCAGUAUUCGGCAUAGUUGUGAUUAUUAUAUGUUUGUAAUCAUCGGUCCCUAUCUGUCUGCCCCACUAUCACUGCACUGGGGGACGCGGCGGAAUUUGCCGCGUGGGAAUCUGAAUUCUUGCGCUCACUGCGCAGAGCUCUCCGGCUUUACCCUCAGAGUAAGCGGGAGACAGGCGGUGGAUGUGGACUGGGUCGGACUCAGACACCCACCCAGCCUCCUGGAUCCUCGUCACAGAAAAUCGCGGAGCCAGCCGUGCGGGCAGCCUUGGCAGCGGAGGCUGAGGCCCAGGCCGAUCCGGCGGGAGUGCGCACGCGCACC
ensembl:lncRNA